rnacentral:rRNA from 1 species
AAGUCGGAUGUGAAAUCCCCGGGCUCAACCUGGGAACUGCAUUCGAAACUGGCAGGCUAGAGUCUUGUAGAGGGGGGUAGAAUUCCAGGUGUAGCGGUGAAAUGCGUAGAGAUCUGGAGGAAUACCGGUGGCGAAGGCGGCCCCCUGGACAAAGACUGACGCUCAGGUGCGAAAGCGUGGGGAGCAAACAGGAUUAGAUACCCUGGUAGUCCACGCCGUAAACGAUGUCGAUUUGGAGGUUGUG